UACGUAGGGAGCAAGCGUUGUCCGGAAUCAUUGGGCGUAAAGCGCGCGUAGGUGGCCUCAUAAGUCCGCUGUGAAAGUCAAAGGCUCAACCUUUGAAAGCCGGUGGAUACUGUGAGGCUAGAGUUCGGAAGAGGCGAGUGGAAUUCCCGGUGUAGCGGUGAAAUGCGCAGAUAUCGGGAGGAACACCUAUGGCGAAGGCAGCUCGCUGGGACGUUACUGACGCUGAGACGCGAAAGCGUGGGGAGCAAACAGG
rnacentral:rRNA from 1 species